rnacentral:rRNA from 1 species
UGUCCGGAUUUACUGGGUGUAAAGGGUGCGUAGGCGGCCGAGCAAGUCAGUUGUGAAAACUAUGGGCUUAGCCCAUAACGUGCAAUUGAAACUGUCCGGCUUGAGUGAAGUAGAGGUAGGCGGAAUUCCCGGUGUAGCGGUGAAAUGCGUAGAGAUCGGGAGGAACACCAGUGGCGAAGGCGGCCUACUGGGCUUUAACUGACGCUGAGGCACGAAAGCAUGGGUAGCAAACAGGAUUAGAUACCCUGGUAGUCCAUGCCGUAAACGAUGAUUACUAGGUGUGGGGGGACUGACCCCUUCCGUGCCGCAGUUAACACAAUAAGUAAUCCACCUGGGGAGUACGGCCGCAAGGUUGAACCUCAAAGGAAUUGACGGGGGCCCGCACAAGCAGUGGAGUAUGUGGUUUAAUUCCAAGC